CUGACAGGCUCUGUGUUCCCAGGGAUGGCCGGGAGGAGCUUGAGGGGACAGCAGGAAAAGCUCCAGCUGAUCUGCAAUGCCCUUGAAUGCCUGACAGAGGAUGUCAGUAGUGCCAUGUCAGAGCUGGCACUUCAAACAUUGCAUGUGCUCCGGGCAAUACAGAGUGGGCAAUACUCCAUCUUCCAGAAGCCCUUCAAGCCAUGAGCGAAGAUGACAGCCCAUCCUCCACUAACCUGGAAAUUCAGGCAGUUUUUGGACAAAGAUGUGCAGAACUAAGGUCAUCUGCUGGAUUCAGAGAACCAGGGUCCCAAGCAGAGUACCAGGAGACAGUGAAGAGAGCAGCAGGACUCAAUGUCACUGGAGCUCCGGGCACACCUGAUGCUGGCCACAGCUGUGCCUGCUGCAAGCUCCCAUAGCUGCUGCCUUCCCCCUCCCUGUUGACAGCUCCCCCGCUCCAGCCCUCAAAUACUGCCCAUUCCCUUUUUUUGGCCCCUAUCUCAUCGCUUCCCUUUCCCUUCCAUUAAUAAACAGUUUGAUUUCUCCCCCUUACCUGCAUCUCUGUGGAGCUGAAGCGGCGCAAAUCCCGGGCCCUGGGACACACAGGCCCCUGCUGCUGUUCUCUUCCACGCCGUGUUCUGUGCACACACACAGAGGAACGAGGGCAGAUCAGGCUGGAGAGGUGCCUGUGCUGAAGGUGCAGUUCCACAACCCUGUGGGGUUGCAGAUCUUGCUGAGCAGCCUGGAGCCCCUGGAAUUUGGAAGAGCCAAGCUGAGUAUGCUCUGAAGGCAGCUGUGAGGGAUUCCAUGGCAAGCUUCCACGGAGGGCAAAGGAGCUUGGAAUGCUGGAAGUUUUCAGGAAUAGCUUCCAGAAAGCUCAGCAGUGCUCCAUCCCUGCACAGGAUCAGGGACAGGGCAGAA